AUUACUGUGACGCUUGUCGGGAAGGAGCAAAACUGAGAACAUUGUGUUCGCGAGUCUCAUUUCCAUAGAGGGGUCAUAUUAAUGUACUCUGACGCUACAAACAUUUUCGUGAGAAUAACGAUUUCCGGGAUGCCACCUGGUCUGACAAAAACCGCUGUAGCUCAGACAUCUGCCACUGCAGGUGCAGAAGGCCGAUAGUGGCAGAUAGAGCCCAGCUCAUGAAGUCCCUUGAUGAUGGAAGGCCUGAGAUAAUUUCCAGUUCUGCCUAAUGGUGACCGACAGCUGUUCUCUGGAGCUCUGCACCAAUAUAAGGGAUGAUGGGAAAGUGAUGCAGAGAGGGAGGCAGAAAAGGGUGGAAAGGAGGAAAUGAGCAGCCAUUAAAAGAUGAAACAUUGAAGAUUAGGGAUGGAAGGAAAGUGGAGACAGAGCUGUUAGACUGACUCCCUGUGGAGGGAGGAGGCCACAGAGGAGCCUCGCUGCUGCAGCAUGGAUGAAUAUAGUCCAAGAUUAGGCUCAAUUAGAACAUUAACUGUAAUUGUUUAUGCACAACAUUGCAGUAACACUGCUAAUUGUUUCCGACAACACUAACCUAAUACGACACCUCUUGGUGGAUCCAUAGUACUACAGUUUAUGGUAGUCAACUUGGCUCACCCCGUGAGUGUGAGCUAAUCAACACUUCUAAAUAAAUUACCAACUGGA